GUAAAGCACUUUCAGUUGUGAGGAAGGUGGUGUCGUUAAUUAGCGGCAUCAUUUGACGUUAGCAACAGAAGAAAGCACCGGCUAACUCCGUGCCAGCAGCCGCGGUAAUACGGAGGGUGCGAGCGUUAAUCGGAAUUACUGGGCGUAAAGACGCAUGCAGGUGGUUUGUUAAGUUCAGAUGUGAAAGACCCGGGCGUCAACCUACGGAACUGCAUUUAGUAAACUAGGCAGACUAGAGUACUGUAGAGGGGGGUAGGAAUUUCAGGUGUAGCGGUGAAAAUGCGUAGAGAUCUGAAGGAAUACCGGUGGCGAAGGCGGCCCCUCGGACAGAUACUGACACUCAGAUGCGAAAGCGUGGGGAGCAAACAGGAUUAGAUACCCUGGGAA
rnacentral:rRNA from 1 species